rnacentral:rRNA from 1 species
CGUAGGUGGCAAGCGUUGUCCGGAUUUAUUGGGUUUAAAGGGUGCGUAGGCGGUUCUAUAAGUCAGUGGUGAAAUCCGGCAGCUCAACUGUCGAUGUGCCAUUGAUACUGCAGAACUUGAGUACAGACGAGGUAGGCGGAAUUGACGGUGUAGCGGUGAAAUGCUUAGAUAUCGUCAAGAACACCGAUAGCGAAGGCAGCUUACUAGACUGUAACUGACGCUGAUGCACGAAAGUGUGGGGAUCAAACAGGAUUAGAUACCCUGGUAGUCCACACUGUAAACGAUGAUUACUCGAUGUUAGCGAUACACAGUUAGCGUCUUAGCGAAAGCGAUAAGUAAUCCACCUGGGGAGUACGCCGGCAACGGUG